AAUAGCUUUCAUGGUGUCUUGUUGUUGGUUUAUAACAACUUUGAGGACAACAUCCUUCGCAUCUGACGAUGGAUUUCGUAGUUAUCAUCCCCUCGUUGUGAGAUCUGGUAAUUGAUAUCGUUUUUCAAUCAUAAUUUUAGAUUAAAAAAAUUUCAUUAGAACGAAAUCGACGAUUAUAUCGCAAAUAUUAGCUUUUGGAAAACGAUGUCAAGCCAAGAUCUACCGACGUGUACCGGUCCAAUCCAAGUCGUGGAAGAUUUCCUUUGGGUAUCCUGGUCAUCUGGACUGCAGAUAUCGUUUUAUUUGCCUUUAUCUUUGUGACACGUCGUGGAACUUCCUCAAGAUAUCACCUUCUUGUCUCUACUCGAUGACAGCCUUCUCGAUAUUCCGGAUCACGAUAAUGAUAUCCUUAGCAUCUAAUAGUAUCUGCAACAGUCGAACGCAGCUCAACUUAGGCCGUUACAAGCCUAAUCACCCGAAGCAAAACGAGUCUUAAUGUAUUCAUACACGCGAGCAGACGAUCGCACCCUCCUCCGAUAAUGGUCGUUCUUCGUCGCGGGCCAUUUUGUCGAAUUCGAGCAAUUAGUCCGCUGAACAACGGCCACCGACGAGUAGUCGGAGGAUUGGAGGGGCGCGGGACAUCAGGCGUCCAAGUGGGGAAGGGGGAGAAGAACAGAAAGAAGAAACAAGAAGAAGAGCUUAAGAGGAACGGAAGUUAAGUCGAAGUAUCAUUAACCUGGUGGAGGUUGUUGUUUCGGCUAAUGAGAUGGCCCACCUGGACGCAAGCUAGACUUGUAAGCUGCUUCUUACCAUCCUCCUUCUUGCGCUUGAU